rnacentral:pre_miRNA from 1 species
ACAUACUCUCUGUCAUAUGCCAUCUGAGGAAUUUUUUUUUAUAGUUUUUGUAAAAAAUUCUUUAGAUGGCAUAUGACAGAGAGUAUGU